CAGCAGCCGCGGGAAUACGAAGGGGGCUAGCGUUGCUCGGAAUGACUGGGCGUAAAGGGCGCGUAGGCGGCGGCCAAAGUCAGGCGUGAAAUUCCCGGGCUCAACCUGGGGGCUGCGUUUGAUACUUGGUUGCUUGAGUGGGGAAGAGGGUCGUGGAAUUCCCAGUGUAGAGGUGAAAUUCGUAGAUAUUGGGAAGAACACCGGUGGCGAAGGCGGCGACCUGGUCCUACACUGACGCUGAGGCGCGAAAGCGUGGGGAGCAAACAGGAUUAGAUACCCCCGUAGUCCCUGUCUCUUAUAU
rnacentral:rRNA from 1 species